GAUGAACGCUAGCGGCAGGCCUAAUACAUGCAAGUCGAACGGUAAAUAUUGUAGCAAUACGAUAUGAGAGUGACGUACGGGUGCGUAACACGUAUGCAACCUACCCAAAACUGGAGUAUAGCUCGGGGAAACCCGAAUUAACCCUUCAUAGUAUCACUGGAUGGCAUCAUUUGGUGAUUAAAACUCAGGUGGUUUUGGAUGGGCAUGCGUCUGAUUAGCUAGUUGGCGGGGUAAAGGCCCGCCAAGGCGAUGAUCAGUAGGGGAACUGAGAGGUUGAUCCCCCACACUGGCACUGAGAUACGGGCCAGACUCCUACGGGAGGCAGCAGUAGGGAAUAUUGGUCAAUGGAUGCAAGUCUGAACCAGCCAUGCCGCGUGCAGGAAGAAGGCCCUCUGGGUUGUAAACUGCUUUUGCCAGAGGAUAAAAUGGGCGUGCGCGCCUAAUUGAAGGUACCUGGUGAAUAAGCCACGGCUAACUACGUGCCAGCCGCCGCGGUAA
rnacentral:rRNA from 1 species